rnacentral:rRNA from 1 species
CCUACGGGAGGCAGCAGUGGGGAAUAUUGCACAAUGGGGGAAACCCUGAUGCAGCAACGCCGCGUGAAGGAAGACGGUUUUCGGAUUGUAAACUUCUAUCAAUAGGGAAAAAAGAAAUGACGGUACCUAAAUAAUAAGCGCCGGAUAACUACGUGCCAGCCGCCGCGGUACUACGUAAGGGGCAAUCGUUCUGCAGAAUUACUGGGUGUAAAGGGGGAGUAGGCGGCAAGGUAAGCGAUAUGUGAAAGCCUUAAGCUUAACUAAAGGAUUGCAUAAAGAACUAUCUAGCUAGAGUACGGGAGAGGAAAGCGGAAUUCCUAGUGUAGCGGUGAAAUGCGUAGAUAUUAGGAAGAACACCAGUGGCGAAGGCGGCUUGCUGGACUGAAACUGACGCUGAGGCACGAAAGCGUGGGGAGCGAACAGGAUUAGAUACCCUGGUAGUC